CCGCUGCUGGCCGAGCGGGUGGGCCGGGCCGGCUACGUCCCGGCGAUGUGCCUGGGGUUCGCGGCCAUGGCCGCGGGC
rnacentral:tRNA from 1 species